rnacentral:rRNA from 1 species
GGCUUAGAGUUUGAUCAUGGCUCAGGAUGAACGCUGGCGGCGUGCUUAACACAUGCAAGUCGAACGGAGAGCGUAUGACAGAGGAUUCGUCCAAUGGAUUACGUUUCUUAGUGGCGGACGGGUGGGUAACGCGUGAGGAACCUGCCUCGGAGUGGGGAAUAACACAACGAAAGCUGUGCUAAUACCGCAUGAUGCAGCUGGGUCGCAUGACUCUGGCUGCCAAAGAUUUAUCGCUCUGAGAUGGCCUCGCGUCUGAUUAGCUGGUUGGCGGGGUAACGGCCCACCAAGGCGACGAUCAGUAGCCGGACUGAGAGGUUGGCCGGCCACAUUGGGACUGAGACACGGCCCAGACUCCUACGGGAGGCAGCAGUGGGGAAUAUUGGGCAAUGGGCGCAAGCCUGACCCAGCAACGCCGCGUGAAGGAAGAAGGCCCUCGGGUUGUAAACUUCUUUUGUCAGGGACGAAGCAAGUGACGGUACCUGACGAAUAAGCCACGGCUAACUACGUGCCAGCAGCCGCGGUAAUACGUAGGUGGCAAGCGUUAUCCGGAUUUACUGGGUGUAAAGGGCGUGUAGGCGGGAUUGCAAGUCAGAUGUGAAAACCACGGGCUCAACCUGUGGCCUGCAUUUGAAACUGCAGUUCUUGAGUACUGGAGAGGCAGAUGGAAUUAAGCC